rnacentral:rRNA from 1 species
CCCUGGUUCCCCCGGGGGUUUGGGGGGGUUUUUUUUUUUUUGGUUUUUUUUCUCUAGGACGAACGCUGGCGGCGUGCCUAAUACAUGCAAGUCGAGCGGACAGAUGGGAGCUUGCUCCCUGAUGUUAGCGGCGGACGGGUGAGUAACACGUGGGUAACCUGCCUGUAAGACUGGGAUAACUCCGGGAAACCGGGGCUAAUACCGGAUGGUUGUCUGAACCGCAUGGUUCAGACAUAAAAGGUGGCUUCGGCUACCACUUACAGAUGGACCCGCGGCGCAUUAGCUAGUUGGUGAGGUAACGGCUCACCAAGGCGACGAUGCGUAGCCGACCUGAGAGGGUGAUCGGCCACACUGGGACUGAGACACGGCCCAGACUCCUACGGGAGGCAGCAGUAGGGAAUCUUCCGCAAUGGACGAAAGUCUGACGGAGCAACGCCGCGUGAGUGAUGAAGGUUUUCGGAUCGUAAAGCUCUGUUGUUAGGGAAGAACAAGUGCCGUUCAAAUAGGGCGGCACCUUGACGGUACCUAACCAGAAAGCCACGGCUAACUACGUGCCAGCAGCCGCGGUAAUACGUAGGUGGCAAGCGUUGUCCGGAAUUAUUGGGCGUAAAGGGCUCGCAGGCGGUUUCUUAAGUCUGAUGUGAAAGCCCCCGGCUCAACCGGGGAGGGUCAUUGGAAACUGGGGAACUUGAGUGCAGAAGAGGAGAGUGGAAUUCCACGUGUAGCGGUGAAAUGCGUAGAGAUGUGGAGGAACACCAGUGGCGAAGGCGACUCUCUGGUCUGUAACUGACGCUGAGGAGCGAAAAGAGCGCC